rnacentral:rRNA from 1 species
GAUGAACGCUGGCGGCGUGCCUAAUACAUGCAAGUCGAGCGGACGGACGAGAAGUUUGCUUCUCUGAUGUUAGCGGCGGACGGGUGAGUAACACGUGUAUAACCUACCUAUAAGACUGGGAUAACUUCGGGAAACCGGAGCUAAUCCCGGAUAAUAUUUUGAACCGCAUGGUGCAUAAGUAAAAGUCGGUCUUGCUGGCACUUAUAGAUGGAUCCGCGCUGCAUUAGCUAGUUGGUAAGGUAACGGCGUACCAUGGCUACGAUGCAUAGCCGACCUGAGAGGAUGAUCGGCCACACUGGAACUGAGACACGGACAAGACUACUACGGGAGGCAGCAGUAGGGAACGUUCGGCAAUGGGCGAAAGCCUGACGCAGCAACGCCACGUGAGUGAUGAAGGUCUUCGGAUCGUAAAGCUCUGUUUUUAGGGAAGAACAGAUGUGUAAUGAACUGUGGCCAUCUUGACGGUACCGAAUAAAAAAGCCACGGCUAACUACGUG